rnacentral:rRNA from 1 species
ACCUCGACACCUACUGGAGGCAGCAGUGGGGAAUAUUGCACAAUGGGGGAAACCCUGAUGCAGCGACGCCGCGUGAAGGAAGAAGUAUCUCGGUAUGUAAACUUCUAUCAGCAGGGAAGAAAAUGACGGUACCUGACUAAGAAGCCCCGGCUAACUACGUGCCAGCAGCUGCGGUAAUCUGAGCGGGCUGGCAAGGC